UGCGGGGUGGAGCAGUCUGGUAGCUCGUCGGGCUCAUAACCCGAAGGUCCGUGGUUCAAAUCCUGUCCCCGCUACCA
rnacentral:tRNA from 1 species